rnacentral:lncRNA from 1 species
UACAAUGUUAACUGAGAGUCUUGUUUCUGAUUCCAAACUAUGCAUGCUUACACAUAUUAAUUUUGUCACCUGGAUCAUUGAUUCAGGGGCAUCCAAUCUUAUGACACAUAAUAAACAACUACUCAUUAACAUCAUACCUUUUACUGUUCCUUAUCUUGUAACUUUACCUAAUGGUUACAAAGUAAAAGUAACUUGUACAGGUUCU